ACCUGACAACCCGCACACAAGAAGAAACGACUCCUGCCGCUAACAUUGGGGAAAGGCGACCACCUGCUGCCCACAUCUCUCAUACAUUUUUGGAUGCAUUGGCCCUAACAACGCCAUCCCGUUGAGUUUUUAGGUGUACACACCCACCCUCUGCAGACCACACCUCUAGCUCCAGACAGUCUUUCCACACUCCAAAGAAAAUAUAAUGCAGAAGUCAGGACUUUGGUCGACCACAA